rnacentral:rRNA from 1 species
GACGUAGGGCGCGAGCGUUGUCCGGAUUUAUUGGGCGUAAAGAGCUCGUAGGCGGCUUGUCGCGUCGUCCGUGAAAACCCACAGCUCAACUGUGGGCUUGCGGUCGAUACGGGCAGGCUGGAGUUCGGUAGGGGAGACUGGAAUUCCUGGUGUAGCGGUGAAAUGCGUAGAUAUCAAGAGGAACACCUGCGGCGAAGGCGGGUUGCUGGGCCGACACUGACGCUGAAGCGCGAAAGCCAGGGGAGCGAACGGG